GAUUUGUCAAGAUUGGCAAGGAAAACAUUACCAAAUUUGACAAAAUUUAAAGAGCCAACUGUGAAAGAUUGAAAUUCAAGCCGAGACAACAAAUGCCUUAGAAAUUGAACUUCUUUACUGAAAAAAAUUCCAAUAUCAUUUGUUAUUUCAGGUAAUCCACUGUUUCAAACAUAUUCGCUUGUGAUCAGGUCAAGGACAAGGGAUGGAUAGAAGCGCAACACACAAAAAACAGUUGAAAAAAGCUGGAAUAAAGGUUCAAGUGCUGUGAAAAGUAAUGCGAAUAGUGCCCAUAGACCGUACACGUGAAUAGCGUGCAUAAACAGUAAUAAAACCCACCCUAAUGAAUCGAAAGCUUUGAUACCAUGCAAAAACUAAUGUAUUUGAGAGAAAUU
rnacentral:misc_RNA from 1 species